UCCCUUGUAGCUCAGCUGGUUAAGAAUCUGCCUGCAGUGCAGGAGACCCGGGUUCGAUCCCUGGGUCAGGGAA
rfam:TPA: Bos taurus chromosome 10, whole genome shotgun sequence.